UACGUAGGGUGCAAGCGUUGUCCGGAAUUAUUGGGCGUAAAGAGCUCGUAGGCGGUCUGUCGCGUCGGCUGUGAAAAACCCGGAGCUCAACUCCGGGCCUGCAGUCGAUACGGGCAAACUGGAGUACUGCAGGGGAGACUGGAAUUCCUGGUGUAGCGGUGAAAUGCGUAGAUAUCGGGAAGAACACCAAAGGCGAAAGCACUUUGCUGGGCCGAAACUGACACUGAUAGACGAAAGCUAGGGGAGCGAAUGGG
rnacentral:rRNA from 1 species